UCACGUUUAGGUACAUAUCAAUAUUAAAUGUUGUUAAACAUGGCAGGAGGUGAUGCAUGUGAUUCUACACGUCAUUCUACUCGGUUUACACAUAUAGGUCAUUGCUAACGGAGCUAUGGUUAAAAGAUACGUGCAACACAAGAUAUUAUGCCAUGAAUGCAACAUGCAUGCAUUUUAUUAAAACACUGGCAAGAACGAUAUGAAGCAUGCGUCGCCAUGGCCAAAGAAUGGGAACCAUGGCCACAAAACGGAAACGAUGCAACGACAAUGGCCCAGUCCCGAUAACUCGCUGAGAUACCAGUGCAAAAGAAUUAUGAGCGUGUGCGUGUCAUGCCAAAGAAUGAUGGGGUAUUCCCGGUUACCGGGUUCCCAUGUAUCGGGGGCACCACAAAAUAGGGACAACAUGCAACGAGCAAGAAUAUACGGUGCAAACAUACGGUUCAUAUCAUACAUCACAUGCAUUCGGACCACGGAUGAUCGUCUCGCUGGUUAUACCUUCAAAGCAUGCAAUUCGUAGUAGAUCGACUCAUUGCGAUGUAGAUGUACAUGGGUCGUCGUGGACGUCGUGGAAGUAGUGGUACUCGGCGAUCUUGUUAGUUCCACGCGACAAAUCCAAGCUCUCGGCGGUCCUGAGCUUGGCCAUCCGAACUUCCAGUAUAGUGGUACAUAACGCUGGUCUUGGUCGUCUCCGAGGAACUCGGUGUGGCAGUGACAAAAAGAUCAAUACUAUUCAACAAGUAUCUUCGGGCGACAUGUCCAACUGGUUAAAAGGAACCAGCACCAUCCGAAGGCAACCAAGUCCAUUUUCGUGGCGUGCUCAUCGUACCUGGCUGGAAGCGAAGCUCGCGAGGUCAAUGCGGUAGCGGACAUGGAAGGGAUCCGCGAGGGGGACAUGGCAGGACGCAAGGAGGGGGCUCGGUGCGACGCAAGCAGGAGGUUGGGGAUGGCACGACGCGUGGGUUAUGUACAUAGGCCACGGCCAUGGGAGGCGGGUGUCAGCCAGGAGCUGAGAUGCAAUAGGAGAAGGGAGGGACAAUGAUGCGGUCCGUCGGAAGGUGGAGCAGAGCAUGCGCGGAGCGGCGACAUGAUCUCCGUCGUGGAGCUCGCUGGCCGGAGCGAAAAUAGGGGGCACGCGGGGCACUCAGGCCGGCCAUGGCAUGGCUGAGCGCGAGCAGGUCUGUGGCGGCUCCAGCCAAGGAUGGGUACGAGGAGGGGCUGCGCAAUGCAGGAAGAGGGAGGAGGGGGCUCGGGAAUCUCGCUCGGGCUGGCCACCCAGUGGUCGGUGCUAUGGGAUCGAGAAUGGGGAAUGAGGAGGGGAUCCGGACGAGUGUUGGUCGGCCAUGGGGAUCGGGGCAAGCUCCUGGUGACGACGCUGACGGGAGAAGGGGGAUGAGAUCGAGGAGAGGACGUGAGGGGAUUGAGUGGAAGGUGGCCUAGGGUUAGGAUUUAGGUGCGUCGGCUAGGCCUAGGGCUGGC
rnacentral:lncRNA from 1 species